CCGCGUGGGUGAAGAAGGCCUUCGGGUUGUAAAGCCCUUUUGUUGGGAAAGAAAAGCAGUCGGCUAAUACCCGGUUGUUCUGACGGUACCCAAAGAAUAAGCACCGGCUAACUUCGUGCCAGCAGCCGCGGUAAUACGAAGGGUGCAAGCGUUACUCGGAAUUACUGGGCGUAAAGCGUGCGUAGGUGGUUGUUUAAGUCUGUUGUGAAAGCCCUGGGCUCAACCUGGGAAUUGCAGUGGAUACUGGGCGACUAGAGUGUGGUAGAGGGUAGUGGAAUUCCCGGUGUAGCAGUGAAAUGCGUAGAGAUCGGGAGGAACAUCCAUGGCGAAGGCAGCUACCUGGACCAACACUGACACUGAGGCACGAAAGCGUGGGGAGCAAACAGGAUUAGAUACCCUGGUAGUCCACGCCCUAAACGAUGCGAACUGGAUGUUGGGUGCAAUUUGGCACGCAGUAUCGAAGCUAACGCGUUAAGUUCGCCGCCUGGGGAGUACGGUCGCAAGACUGAAACUCAAAGGAAUUGACGGAAA
rnacentral:rRNA from 1 species